rnacentral:rRNA from 1 species
UACGGGGGGGGCAAGCGUUGUUCGGAAUUACUGGGCGUAAAGGGCUCGUAGGCGGCCAACUAAGUCGGAUGUGAAAUCCCCAGGCUCAACUUGGGAACUGCAUCCGAUACUGGAUGGCUUGAAUUCGGGAGAGGGAUGCAGAAUUCCAGGUGUAGCGGUGAAAUGCGCAGAUAUCAGGAGGAACACCGGUGGCGAAGGCGGGUCUCUGGGCAGUAACUGACGCUGAGGAGCGAAAGCGUGGGGAGCGAACAGG